rnacentral:lncRNA from 1 species
AUAUUAUAAAAUAUUAAAAAACAGUUAAGUAACCUUAUUUCAUAUCCCCUUCCAAAGUUGUUAUACAGAGAGAGAAGAUGCCAUUUGCACUGAAGUGAACCAUGACAACAGUAACCAGAAUGUCACUUCCACAAGAAAAUCACUUCCUUUAACAGUUUAAUUUAUUCUACCAUGAUCUGUGCUCUUGUACUUAAAUACCAAGAAGAGCUAUAAUGUGGGUUAGGUUUGAUUUACAUGCAAGCUAAUCAGAAAGCAGGUAAGAUGGUAGCUGUGUUUUGCGGUGGCAAUUUUUUUAACAUUUUUUUUAAAUCGCUCAAAAUAUCCAAUAUUGACAGAAAGGGGGCCAUUCUGAAAUAGGGCCAUAGCAUGAACUACUAAAAGAAAGUGUGUUCACCGUUGCAGUAGGCUAGGCCCUACAUCUUAUGAGCCAAUGCAUCAUGUCAAGAAAGCACUCACUGGACCAUUUCAAUUGGCUUUUGUGUCUCUCUCUCCCGUCCCUGCUACGGCCCCAGGUAUCUACACUAGAGUGCAUCACUCUGCCACUCUGCCUGAGCUCCAUUUCAUUCUUCCUAUAUGUCCAAACCGUCACUGAACUAAGAGGUCACAUUCAUUCUGUUGUUUAAUUCUUCCCCUUUUCUUCAGAAGACUGAAAUACCUCGCUAAAAUCCUGUUAUGAAAUGUUUAUAAAAGUAUCUCUUAUGAUUAUAAGAACUUGACUAAUGUUCACAAAAGUAAAUCCCUUACAACAGAAUGGGGAUAAAACGUCAAAUUAUAUAUAAAAUUGUAUUUGUCACAUUCGUCGACUACAACAAAGUGUAGUUGUUGUCGGCGCAUGUGAAAUGCUUACUUAUGAGCCCUUACCUAAAAAAUGCAGAGUUAAAAAGUAAGAAAAAUGUGCAAAAGAUGUAAAAGGUAAUAGUAACACAAUAAAAUACCAAUAACGAGACUAUAGACAUAGAGUAGCGGUAUCGAAUCAGUGUGCAGGGGUACGAGGUAGUUGAAGAAAUUGAGAUGAUAUGUACAUGUAGUUAGGAGUCAAAGUGACUCGGCAAUCAGGAUAGAUAAUAAACAGAGUAGCAGCACCGUAUGUGAAGAGCGUGAAAGUGUGUCUAUGUGUGGCGUGCCUGUGUGUGAUGUCAAUAUUCAUGUUUGUGUGUGUAAGCGUAUGUAGUGUUUCUAUGUGUGUGUUGGGGUGUCAGUGUAGUAUGUGUGAGGGUAGAGUCCAGUGAGUGUGCAUAGAGCCGGUGCAUAGAGCCAGUGCAUAGCAUAGAGCCGGUGCAAAUACAAAGGGGUCAAUGCAAAUAGUCAGGGUAGCCAUGGUAGUUGUCCUGGCACCACACUGCCAGUUCUCCGACCUCCUCUCUAUAGUCGUGCACGACCAUGCAGUCGUGGGUGAACAGGGAGUACAGGAGGGGACUAAGCACGCACCCCUGAGGGUCCCGUGUUGAGGGUCAGCGUGGCGGAUGUGUUGUUGCCUACCCUCACCACCUGGGGGCAUCCUGUCAGGAAGUCCAGGAUCCAGUUGCAGAGGGAGGUGUUCAUGGUGUUGGGCACUAUGGUGUUGAACACUGAGCUGUAGUCAAUGUACAGCAUUCUCACAUAGGUUUUCCUUUUGUCCAGGUGGGAAAGGGCAGUGUGGAAGGAGCAGUAUGCAAAUUGCAGUGGGUCUGGAUGAUGGUGUUGAUGUGAUCCAUGAUCAGCGUUUCAAAGCCUUUCAUGGCUACAGAUGUGAGUGCUACGGGUUUAGACAGGUUACCUUGCCGUUCUUGGGCAUAAGGACUGUGGUGGUCUGCUUGAAACAUGCAGGUAUUACAGACUGGGUCAGGGAGAGGUUGCAUGCUCUGAGUAUGCGUCCUGGUAAUCCAUCUGUUAACCUGAAUGUUAACCUGUUUAAAAGGUGUUAGUCACAUCGGCUACAGAGAGCGUGAUCACACAGUCAUCAGGAACAACUGGUGCUCUUGUGCAUGGUUAAGUGUUGCUAGCCUCGAAGCAAACAUAGAAAGCAUUUAGCUUGUCUGGUAGUCUCGCAUCACUGGGCAGUUUGCGGCUUUGCGGCUUUGUAAUCCGUGAUAGUUUGCAAUCCCUGCCACAUCAGCGUCAGAGCCAAUGUAGUAGGAAUCGAUUUUAGUCUGGUAUUGACGCUUAGCCUGUUUGAUGGUUCGGAGGGCAUAGCGGGAUUUCUUAUAAGUGUCCGGAUUAGUGUCCCGCUCCUUGAAAGUGGCAACUCUAGCCUUUAGCUCAAUUCAAAUGUUGCCUGUAAUCCAUGGCUUCUGGUGGAGAUACGUACGGUCACUGUGGGGACGAUGUCGUCGAUGCACUUAUUAAUGAAGCCAGUGACUGAUGCGGUAAACUCUUCAAUGUCUUUGGAUGCAUCCCUGAACAUAUUGGAGUCUGUACUAGUGAAACAGUCCUGUAGUUUAACAUCUGCUUCAUUGGACCACUUCCGUAUUAAGCGCAUCUCUGGUACUUCCUGUUUGCGUUUUUGCUUGUAUGCAGGAAUCAGGAGGAUAGAGUUAUGGUCAGAUUUGGCAAAUGGAGGGCGAGGGAGAGCCUUGUAUGUGUCUCUGUGUGUGGAGUAAAGGUGGUCUAGGUUCAUAUCAAUAGUGUGGAGUAAAGGUGGUCUAGGUUCAUAUCAAUAGUGUGGAGUAAAGGUGGUCUAGGUUCAUAUCAAUAGCGUGGAGUAAAGGUGGUCUAGGUUCAUAUCAAUAGUGUGGAGUAAAGGUGGUCUAGGUUCAUAUCAAUAGCGUGGAUUAAAGGUGGUCUAGGUUCAUAUCAAUAGCGUGGAGUAAAGGUGGUCUAGGUUCAUAUCAAUAGUUGUAUAGGAGUAAAAGUCGCCUUGUUUAAUUUGGAAAGACUUUGAGGUGCUUUCGGUGGCUUAAUCCUUCCUACAGCAGGGAAGGAUUAAGUAAUAGCCUAAUGCAUUGUCGGUAAGUACAAUGAGGAAGUAGACUAAAUAUUUUGGCAUUAAUGCUGAAGAAAAACAAAACUACUUUGAUAAGGAAAUGCACUUUAACCCCCAGAGUGUCAACACAACUUCUGGAGGUCUUGGACAAUCCAUCAGAAUUAGGUUACUGUGUAAUGCUGGAGAUCUGCUAACUUCAUCCAGAUUGGUUGAGACUAAAAAUAGCCUAGACAUGAGGUUCACAGAGAUGUUCUAUCAGUGAUCCAUUGUGAUCAUAGCAUAAUAUGUAGGCUAUAAUGCAGCUAACUUGGGUCGGAAGUAUCCUUCUUCAAGGUGGAAGCUAUUUGCAUUGUACAGGAAUGACUGAUCUGUAAAAGAUCAAGACUACAGCAUGAAGUCUUGCAAGAACACAACUUCCCAGCAAAUACCAAAAUGUGCCCUGCUCUGAAGCCAUCUAGCCUACAUAUUUUCAGUCCAAACAUCCCAGCUAGCUCCUCCUUCAGAACCUGUUUCCCUUGACAUGUGAGACUGAGACUAGCGCCACCAUUUUGAUUGCCUCCUAGCCCACAGCCCACAGUUGUCACAGAGUGUAUAGUUCAGUCUCCUUGUCAGCAAGAUUUCACCGUGGCCACAGUGAGUGAGUCUGCAGGAGAGUAAGGCACACAUUGCCUUCUCUUGACUGAGUGAAUGACAUACGGUACACACCAGUUAAACUGAGGUUGAGAACUACAUGUACUGUACAUGCUGAGAACAUAAGUACAUAAAUAACAAAUCGAUUAACAAACA